CCCCUCUCAGGACAGCCCCUGGAGAGUUUCCCAUACUCUACCGGUCUCGGCUAUGGGAGGGAGAGUCAGCAGAGACAUACCCAUUCCAUUUCUAGUUUGGGCAGUGGCUAGUGAGUGGAAGACAUUUUGCUAAAAGU